ACAUCCAGAGAAUUUAGCAGAGAUGCUUUAGUGCCUUCGGGAACUCUGAGACAGGUGCUGCAUGGCUGUCGUCAGCUCGUGUUGUGAAAUGUUGGUUAAGUCCCGCAACGAGCGCAACCCUUAUCCUUUGUUGCCAGCACGUAAUGGUGGGAACUCAAAGGAGACUGCCGGUGAUAAACCGGAGGAAGGUGGGGAUGACGUCAAGUCAUCAUGGCCCUUACGAGUAGGGCUACACACGUGCUACAAUGGCGCAUACAAAGAGAAGCGACCUCGCGAGAGCAAGCGGACCUCAUAAAGUGCGUCGUAGUCCGGAUUGGAGUCUGCAACUCGACUCCAUGAAGUCGGAAUCGCUAGUAAUCGUAAAUCAGAAUGUUACGGUGAAUACGUUCCCGGGCCUUGUACACACCGCCCGUCACACCAUGGGAGUGGGUUGCAAAAGAAGUAGAUAGCUUAACCUUCGGGAGGGCGUUUACCACUUUGUGAUUCAUGACUGGGGUGAAGUCGUAACAAGGUAAGCGUAGUGCU
rnacentral:rRNA from 1 species